UACAGAGGUCUCAAGCGUUGUUCGGAAUCACUGGGCGUAAAGGGUGCGUAGGCCGCACGGUAAGUCAGAGGUGAAAUCCCGGAGCUCAACUCCGGAAUGGCCUCCGAUACUGCCGUGCUCGAGGACUGGAGAGGAGUCUGGAAUUCACAGUGGAGCAGUGAAAUGCGUAGAUAUUGGGAGGAACACUAGUGGCGAAGGCGAGACUCUGGACAAUUCCUGACGCUGAGGCACGAAGGCCAGGGGAGCAAACGGG
rnacentral:rRNA from 1 species